AUGCAGUCGAACGGGACUUAAUUUGUAGCAAUACAGGCUUAAGUUCAGUGGCGCCCUUUNAGNGUAACACGUGGGGAAUCUGCCGAGAAGUGGGGGNUNUNUUCGCCGAAAGGCGAAUUAAUACCGCAUAUGAUGAGGGAAGACAUCUUUCCGAAAUCAAAGCCGGGGCAACCUGGCGCUUUUUGAGGAGCCCGCGGCCUAUCAGCUAGUUGGUGAGGUAACGGCUCACCAAGGCUUUGACGGGUAGCUGGUCUGAGAGGACGACCAGUCACACUGGAACUGAGACACGGUCCAGACACCUACGGGUGGCAGCAGUCGAGAAUUUUUCUCAAUGGGGGCAACCCUGAAGGAGCGACGCCGCGUGGAGGAUGAAGGCUUUCGGGUUGUAAACUCCUGUCAUUUGAGAACAAGUGUAGCUAAGUAACUACUGGCUACUUGAUAGUAUCANAAGAGGAAGAGACGGCUAACUCUGUGCCAGCAGCCGCGGUAAUACANAGGUCUCAAGCGUUGUUCGGAUUCAUUGNNGCGUAAAGGGUGCNUANGNGGCGGGGUAAGUCAGGUGUGAAAUUUCGGAGCUUAACUCCUAAACUGCAUUUGAUANUGCCUUGCUUGANGACUGNNAGAGGAGACUGUAA
rnacentral:rRNA from 1 species